AACUAACGCUAUUAUUGUUACAGUUUCUGUACUUUAUUGGUAUGAGAAGCUUCCAGUUUAACUGGGAAAUUUUGGAACUUGCCUUCGGG
rnacentral:misc_RNA from 1 species